rnacentral:lncRNA from 1 species
UUCUAGUCAUGUCCUGCCUAAUCACCUCUCCCCAAUACUUCUUAGGCCUCCCUCUGCCUCGCCGACCGCCAACAAUCUCCAGCCGCUCACAGCUCCUGACUGGGACAUCGGGACUGUUCAGAGCCACAUUGAACAGGUUCAGAAUUAGGAAAAAAUACUUAAAUGCAUAGAGUCACAAAAUAUUUAUCAAUAAAGAAAAUGAAGAUAAAUAGUUAAUUAUGGACUACUUAUGAUGGCGGAGUAGUUGUUUUCGCUAGCCAUCUGCAUAAUGGCAUAUAAAAUAUAAAAUCAGACAGUAUACUCCAUUUAUUUAAUUGCGCCAUCUGCCAGAUCUUUUUGAACAAAUAAUUGCAAACCAAGUACAUGUAAUGAUCAUGGCCGAGGACAUCAUGAAAGUAUCCAGCCAUAAUUUUCAGAAUAAACUCCGUAUUCCGAAUUAUCUUUGGAAUGUUGCAGAAUAGGCAAUUGAGUAUUAUGAAGAAUGAAGUUCUAGGAGGAAAAGCAAGACUCAUGAAAAAAAUUAUAAAGGAAAACCAAAGAUGGAAACUCCAGUUGAAAUGAACUUCAGUGCAAAUUCUCUAUUUAGGAAUGUAUAGACCAGGAUUAUACUACACGAUUAUUGAAUAGGCUGCAUGAAUUUAUUGAAAAUUAAAGUCAAACGUUAAGUUCUUUGCUUCAUAUUCCCAUAAACGAAAAGAUUCUUUGAAAGUUCAUAGGAAAACAAAAAAAGGCUAAAGAAGUAUCGAAGAUUGACUCAUUAUAUUUAGGCUUAGUAUUAUAUGGCAUCACAAUCUGAUGCCUUCGAAUAGAAGAAGUUGAGAACGAUCCAGUGAAAGAAAGCAUCCAAUAGAGACAUAACAAAGAAAAAUAUAAGUUAAAAAAUGCGAGCCAAAACUCUCUUUAUCUGCCAGUCAGAAAGAAUAAAAGUUAAUGGAUCCAUAUGCAUAACUCCAGUAGUACGGAAAGUAAUUAAAUGGAAGUAGAUCUUGAUACAAGAAGUCUACUAAUAAAGAAAGAGCGAAUAAGGAAGAUCCCAUUAAAUGACAUCCUGGAGGUACAGAUAAACAGACAGUAACUUAAAUUUAACAAAAUAUUCUAUAAAUGUCUGGGAAUAAAAGAUCCCAUUAAUUCAAUCGCUGUUCUAGACUGACCAUGCUGCAAGGUUUAUAAUAUAUAAACAUGACAAAAAAUGUUUCAAGGAAAGCUAAAUCUCAACAAAGGUAUCAUAUGUCAAGGAUUCUUAUCCGGACAUUGGCAGGACGCUUAGUGGCUCUUGACAAUUACUCUAUUGCCAAUCCCGGUGAAUGGUGGGCUUACGGCUAAGGAUGGUAUAUGAAUCUAUACUCUAAUAAUUUAUUCUCUUCUAUUAGUCAGUCCUAUAGUCAUGUAUUAAUGGUGAAAUAAAUUUCAAGCUUGGAUCUAGGCCUGCUAUUCAUUUUAGACUGGGGUAACUGGCAUCAUUGUGUGCUCCCCAAUUCGAUUAUGUACCUGUGAAAAUCAUCGCUCCUGAAGAACUAUGUAGCUUCCUUCUAACUUAACAGUUAUUCUUUUGUUUCUUGUUACCUGUUUUUGUUCUCAAAUUUCUGCUGCUUUGGUAGCUUUUAUACGCAUCCUGAUGUGGUCUGUUACUGUGAUUGUUUUAAGCUGUCAAAGCCAUUGUUCGUAAUGCCAAGGUUCGUCAAGGAAAGCUAAAUCGGGACUACAGAAGAGUUUAAAUAAUAAAAUAUCAGUGAUAAUUAUUAUGCUCCUAUCAAAUUAUUUAACUCUUCCACGGGUAAUUCUAAUUAGCAAUAAAUCAAUCUUUAAUCGAGCAAAAAAUAUAUAUUUUUGGUUCCGAGAAGUCCAACUUAAGCCAAUACACAAAUUGCCAAAUCGUAAUAAUUGUUGAAAACAGUGUUGUUUUCUCAGUGCAUAUACCAUGAAACGCAUAAAUAGAAAAGGAGUGUACCUUCUCGAAAUCUAUUGAAGGAGCCAUGGCGCAAUCGAAUUGUGUUUUUUCACUAUUGAUGUUCCUUUUCACGUUCUCCGAAUUCAAUGAUGAUGAUGAACGUUAGUAUAAGCAUUAUUCCGUAUGUUCAUCGCUAAUUACAUAUCUUUAAUAGAAGAGAGGGUAGAGAGGUUACUGGUCGAAAUUGCCAUAAUAAUUAAUGAAAUGAAAAAGGCACUGUUUGGUUGAAUUUGAUCGGCUGCCAUUAUCAACGAAGGAAGUAGAAACGGUUUGUUUAAGAAGGUUAAUCGCUGGCUUUUCUUUGUGUUUUAUUGGGCAAUUAAUGAGGUAACUGGGUAAAAUAAAACCCCAUAAAACGGAGAAAAAAGAAAAAGGCAAUUGCGGG